AGCUCACUCGCAAUACACUUUUUGUCUUCCCACCAACUGGAAUUGCGUUUCAAUGGCGAUAACGAGUGGCUUGGCAACCUCUUGUGCAGUUGCAGGCUUAAAAUCUAAGGCAAAAUCAGGUGUCAGUUUGCUUUUCAGUUCUUCAUCUUCUUCUCUGUCUAUCGCUUAUUUUGGUCAUCAAGUUAGGUUUUUCGGCAGUCGUCGAAGCAUUAAGCCGUUUGGUUUAUUGUACGAGAUCGCACUUGUUGAGCCCUAGAUGUGACGUUGGUUCGAACUCAGUGGUUAAAAAUGGUGUUAAGGAAUCCAAAGCGUCCAGUUUUUCAGCUUUGUGGCUUUGCAAGACAUCUGCUGCUACUGAUAAUGAAGAAACUUUUGGAACAGGUUGGAGUACACCAGCAGAGGAAGCAGAACCAGAGCUGGACAAGCAUAUAAUUCCACCCCUUCCGAUUAUGUAGAUGCAUGUCCAUAUCAUUGGUGAUAGUAAGCCUCCUUUCCUUUAUUAUAUGGAUAUUAUGAUUUUUGUUCCCCACAUUUUUAUAAAAUUGAUGAAACCAAGAUCAAUAAUCUCUAGUGAUCACCAGCCGCAUUAUCCAUUUUUGGUUAGCUUCUAUAUAGACCCCUUCUCCUCAAUGGCAAAGCCAGGAAAUUCAAUAAAUGUGUGGUCUAUACAAGGGUAUUCAAACUCUAUUUUUUGUCAAUAACAAAUAUUUUAUCAACAGUAUAAUAUUUUGGCGAAGGGUAUUCAAUUGACCACCCUUGACCACACAUAGCUCCGCCCCUGCUUCUCCUUGUUAUAUAGUUUUAUAUAAUGUCUAUGCCCCGCUAGAAAAUAUUGAAUAUUUCAAGAUAAAGUCCUUUGGCAAGGUCAGGAUCCAUGUAGCUAGUGAUCCCUCAGCCCUAUUUCAGUACUAUAAUAUUGCAGAUGAAAAAACCUUUGGAAUAGCUUGGAAGUCAUGGCCUAAGUUGGUUGGCCUGCCAACAAAAGAAGCAGAAAGGAAGAUAAAGGAGGAGAACCCAGAGCUGCACAUACAAAUAAUUCCACACGAUUCCAUUGUGAAUUUGGAUUUCUGUUCAAAUAGGGUCCAUAUCUUUGCCGAUAAAUAUGGAAAAGUUGACUCGGUCCCUACCGUUGGCUAAUCAUCUUUUCAAAAGAAUUUAUGAACACUGAGAAUCAAAAUGCUUCUUUUCGUUUUCUCUUUGAACUAAUGUUGAACUACUGUGUCUAUAUCUAUGUCUAUCCAAUAUGAAUUAAAGGUUGGGCAAAUAUACUAUCAUGUCCAUAGGUUCUUGUUUAUAAAGUAAAAGCUUUCUUUUUUAA